rnacentral:rRNA from 1 species
AGCGAACGCUGGCGGCAGGCCUAACACAUGCAAGUCGAACGAAGUCUUCGGACUUAGUGGCGGACGGGUGAGUAACACGUGGGAACGUGCCUUUAGGUUCGGAGUAACUCAGGGAAAAUUGUGCUAAUACCGAAUGUGCCCUUCGGGGGAAAGAUUUAUCGCCUUUAGAGCGGCCCGCGUCUGAUUAGCUAGUUGGUGAGGUAAAGGCUCACCAAGGCGACGAUCAGUAGCUGGUCUGAGAGGAUGAUCAGCCACAUUGGGACUGAGACACGGCCCAAACUCCUACGGGAGGCAGCAGUGGGGAAUCUUGCGCAAUGGGCGAAAGCCUGACGCAGCCAUGCCGCGUGAAUGAUGAAGGUCUUAGGAUUGUAAAAUUCUUUCACCGGGGACGAUAAUGACGGUACCCGGAGAAGAAGCCCCGGCUAACUUCGUGCCAGCAGCCGCCGUAAAAC